rnacentral:tRNA from 1 species
GCGCGUGUAGUGAAUUGGUAUCACGUGGGACUGUGGAUCCUAAGUACCGAGUUCGAUUCUCGGCCCGCGCC